GCCUGGGUAGCUCAGCGGGUUGAGCAUCUGCCUUUGACUCAGGUCGUGAUCCUGGCGUCCUGGGAUCGAGUCCCACAUCAGGCU
rnacentral:tRNA from 1 species